rnacentral:pre_miRNA from 1 species
AAGCUAAAUGUGAGAGUCGGAUGGGACCAAAUCUUCAGCUCCAGCUCCAAAUCACUGGAGUAGAGCACAAGACUUGGUUUCCUCCAAUAUCUCAUCUUCAACUG